GAAGGAAGAAAGGAAGAAAAGAAGCAAGGAAGGAAGGAAGGAAGGAAGGAAGCAAGGAAAGAAGGAAGGUCGGAAGCUCCUUCUCUCGGCUCGCAUCGUGGUCCACCGCGGAAGAACUGCUGGAACUCGGAUCGAAUAAGAAGAGAAAGACGGAGAAGAAGAAGACGAAGAAGAAAAAUACGAAGGAGAAGACGAAGAAGAAGAUGAAGAAGAAGGAGGAGAAGAGGCUGCGGCCCUUUUGCACGAGGCUCGCUAGCAGAUUGGACAGGACGGCUCCCUGCACGUUUGCUAUUCGUGCGAGGGCCAUGAACCCCGAACAGAGCGAGACCAAACGGCAUGAACUAACAAUUUCGUUUGUUACCACCCGGCCCGUAGUCUUGCUCCUGGCCGGCCGGGGCUGCCUGGGGUAGAAGAGGAGGGCCGCAAAAUGGAUAGAGCAAGAUCGAAAUGUUAUUAAUGCUGCGCCGCACCGUCGAGAGACAAUCGCCUACCUGACCGACCAAUUCGUCGUGACCAUAAGGACUCGAUUGACGAAAUUGGAAAGGACAUGGACCCCGGACGUAUCCCGUUCGGAAGGUCAUCGUACGAUAAUAACGAGCGUUAGAUACCAGUAUAGAUACACGAUGAAGAGUUCUUUUGUCAACCACAUCAUCGUCAUUCGGAGAUUACAGCGAGAGGUUGCAGACGGUCAAGCCACGACGUCGCCGAACGCUCGGCAGAUAUUUGCUCGCUCUAAUUCGGCCUUGAGUCUAAUACUCGUCAUUGACCAGUGGUCGUAGACCUCGGCGAACGUUCGUUUCGCGAGAGCCUCGUUCGCCGGUUAGAAGAAACCACAGAACGGACGACGUUCCAAUAUAAUAACAGCCGAGCCAGUUCUGCGCUACCUGCCGUUCGUUUGUUCAUUCGUUUGAGAAAGACAGAGAGAAAGAGAGAGAGAGAGAGAGAGAGAGAGAAAGAGAGAGAGAGACUUAUCGAAACGACGAGACCAUUUUUCCUCCCUUUGUAUCGGAUCCUUCUCGAUCUUUUUCUCAACGGUCCGUGGACGGUCAACGUUUAAUCUCGAAAACAAUGGAUCGUCUUUCAAGAACGUACAAUCUAUUCAAGAUCGAAGAGGUCUUCUUCUUCUUUGCCAAAACGCUGUGUCUCGAAUAUCAUUAGCCGAGCACGAAGGCCAGGAAGAAGGGUGGAAGGGGAGGUGUUGGAGGUGGUGCGUUGGAAAUGAAGGAGAGGAGAGGAGAACCGACGGUGGCUCCUCAAACUACUCUUCUCACUCUGUACUCGCGCACUCGUCGACUCGUUGGGACAUAAAGAGACGCCUUGUCCGUGUUUCGGCGGGCGCGAUAGCGCGUUAGACGACGUCUGCACGGUAACAUAGCAGGUAACAGACGGUGGAAGGACAUUCUUCGUCUAGGACUAGACACCGUUAGAUCUUCCAGACGGUUGGAACGUCGGAAAGAGAGAGGGAAAAAGAGAAAGACGGAGAGAAAGAAAGAG